AACGUAGGAGACAAACGUUAUCCGGAGUUACUGGGCGUAAAGGGCGCGUAGGUGGCCGGCUAAGUCAGACGUGAAAUCCCUCAGCUUAACUGGGGAACUGCGUCUGAAACUGAUCGGCUCGAGUGCAGGAGAGGAACGCGGAAUUCCAGGUGUAGCGGUGAAAUGCGUAGAUAUCUGGAGGAACACCGGUGGCGAAGGCGGCAUCCUGGACCGGCAUUGACGCUGAGGCGCGAAAGCUAGGGGAGCAAACGGG
rnacentral:rRNA from 1 species